AAGAAAGAGUAUGCACUCGAGAAUGAAUGAGUGAAGAAAGGAAGGAAUUAAUGAAUCGCCGCAUGAACGAAAACAACAAAUGAGUCUGUCUCCCCGUAAGAAUGAACGAGUGAAGGAAAGAAUCGCUACUUUGAACGGAUGAAUAAAUAAAGGCAGUUGGAGGUUCAUUCCGAUCUCUGCACCGAAAAAGGAUCCCAGAGAAGGGGCAUUCCGAGUGUCAGGGGCACGGUGGGGAGGGGACGCCUUCCACUCACCUGCACGUAGUCCACCGAGUCGCCGAGCGCCUUGAAGGCGGUGUACAUGACCUCGCGCUUGCCGCCCCAGCGCUGCGCCACGCACACGCAGCGGUGCGUCCUCACCAGCGCCUCCACCGCCAGCCGCCCGGGGUCCUCGGCCUCCACCUCCCGGUAGGCACCCGCCGCGCCCGCCGUGGCCGCCGGCUCCCAAGGCCGGUGGUAGUUGCCGUCCCACACGUAGGUGGCGGGGUCCUCGUCGGCGAAGACCUCGCGGAACAUGUCCACCAUGUAGAGGUCCUCGGCGCGGUUGCCGUCCACCACCAUGAGGACGCGCAGGCGCGCGCGCGGGUACUGCAGGGCGCGGGCGGACGCCAGGCACUGGCGCAGGUACGCGGGGUCCUCCUGGUACGCCGAGAUGGUCAGCGCCACGCUGCGCGCCGCCGCCGCGUCCAGGGGCCCCCGCGCCGCCGCCCGCCGCGCCGCCGCCGCCACCCGCCGGUGCUCCAGGUACGCGAAGAGGCUCUGCGCCACCAGGUGCGCCGAGAGGAAAGCCCCGUACAGACCGAAGGCGAGGAGGCCGUAGCGAUCGGAGGCCAGCGGCACCCCGGCGGCGUAGGCCCAGGUCAUGAGGCCCAGGAUGAGCAGCGCGAACGUGACGAGACAUCUCCUGCACCGCUGGUGCUCCAGGCUCUUGGCUGGGUGAUGCCAGGCCCACAGAGAUGACUCAGACCCGGGCCCUGCCCUUGAGGAGAUGCCAAUCUUGGGGAGGAGACAGCUGUGUAAACAGAGGAUCAAAGACGAGUGCAUGGAUGCACCAACCCCGCUGGAGAGUCAGGGAGGGCUUCGUGGUGGAGGUGAUGUCCUGGAGGAGCAGAGUCUUGACUGAUGGGAAAUUAGCCAAGAGGACUGGCCCUGGCCUCUCUUCCGAGCUCAGACAGGAGAUCUUGUGAGAACCAGGUUACCCUUACACGCAUGGUUUGGCCAUGUGCCUCCGCCACUCCCUUCCGGAAGCAGUCCACUGUGAAUCCCAAGUCCACUUCCAGCACAGGCCAAGGCCUGAUGAGCUUCCAUGGAAGGAACACAGCCAUCUGAGUCAGAAGACAGAUGCGAGGAUGUGGAGUUGGAGGCAAAGUCUGGGGCCCCAAGGAGGGCCUGGUGACUUGUGUGCUCUUGGCAAGGAGCCGUUUCAUUCCCCUGAGCCUCUCUUUCCUCAUCUGUGAAAUGGGAAUAUCUCAAGUUGUCAGCCUAAGAGUCAGAGAGAGGGCUUCGACCUGGCAUACUGCCACGUGAGAUACGUGUUAGCUCUUCCUGAAGCGGCCGCACGGAGGGUCUCCGUGAAUGAUUCAGGUGGCAACAGGGGGACUCUCCACCUGUCCCGGCCACCUCACUGGUGCUCUGGGGAGUCAGCCCGGUAGGGGCCUGGAGGGGCCCACGGUCUGGAGUCAGCUGCUCCAGGGUUCCGAGGCUGGUGGCCUUAGGCAAGCUAUGUCCCACCGUGGCCAGGUGUCCCACCUGCAGACCAGCAGAGCCCACGACCCCACUGUGUGCGUGGACGGGACUGGGCUGGCCAUGGAGCAAAUCUCUGGGCCCCGGCCUCCUCGUGUCUGGAGGAGAGUGAAGAUCCUGCCUACUCCAGGCUAUUUCGAGGAGCUCAGACAAGUUUAGGGAGCAGACGGCAUGCAGCAGAGAUGGUGUGUCGAGGAGAGUUGCCCCUGUGGGCUCCAGACGGAGGAAGUCAGAGGAGCAGAUGAUGAGUGAUGUUGAGCAUUUUUUCACGUGUCUGUUCACCAUCUGGACGUCUUCUUUGGAGAAGUGUCUAUUCAGAGAACAUUUACUUUUAAUUCUUCCAUUUUAUCAUCCCCCAAUAUGGUGGCUUUCUUCCUGGAGACUGCCACCUAAUGGCUGCAAGACAGCUGCCACAGCUCCUAACUUCACACCACAGCACUUCAAGUCAGGAAGAUGAGGAUGAAACGGGAAUCACUGAAGAUUUUUAAAAGAAGUAGGGUAUGUUCAGAUGUGUAUUUUAUAAAAAUUUCUCUGGAGGCACACACAGAAGACACAGUUUAGAAUGUUCCCAAGGGAGGAAGGGUAACAAGUGUGGAUGUGACCAAGAGUCAAAAGGAAGUCACAGUCUUUCUGGGAAUUAAAGUGAAAAGAAUGGCAGAGGGCACUACUAUUCAUCGAGGAGAAGGGCUCAGAUGCUGAGAGAAAACAAGAGACAUGGGACCCCAUGGAGCGUAACUCUCAAAUUUCCAGGUCUUUGGGAGUCUGACUUCCCCAAACCAGACUUCUUGGAUGCCCCUGCCUGUUUCCCAUAAGCCGUGAAGUAUAUGCAGGUUUUAUUCUUUGCUACCAAGUGGCCCAUGAUUGACACACCAGGACUUGCAGAACUGACAGAGGCAAAGUGACUAAGGUGAAAAAAAGGGCAAGUCCCAAGUGGACUCUGAUUCCUGAAUGUCCACAUUGUCUAAUGUGUGUAAGGCCAAAGGGGAAAUGAUUUUGGGGUUGGCCCUGGUGGGGCAAAUUCCUGCCUGUAUUGCAAAAUCCCUGACCCCUGUGGUGGCUGAUAUCCUGAGUGGCCUCUGUGAACCUCAAAGUCUUUCAGUAAACUGCAGUGCCUGAGAUGGUGAAGCCAGAUUGCCUGGGCUGGAAACCCAAAUGUACCCUUGACUCCUUCCGCAAUCAAUCAGGCCAUCUAACCCAGGGGUUGGCUAACAUUUUCUCUAAAGGGCCAGAAUAGUAAAUCUUUCAUGUUUUGCAGGCCGUAGUGUCUCUAUCACAACUAUGCAACCCUGCCAUUAUAGCGUGAGUAUAGCCAUUGGCGAUAUGUAGACGAUGAGCACGGCUGUGUGCCAAUAAAACUUUAUUUAAGAUGCUGAAAAUGGAAUUUUAUGUCAUCUCAUUUAACACAGAUUAUUAUCCUUUUGGUUUUAUUCAGUAAUUAAA